UAAAAUGACCGAAGUGUGACUUUUAAAAUGUAAAAUAAAGUCGUACAAUUCUUUUGUUUUCUAGUUGAUAUAAAUAAGUGUGCAUGAGAAGUAGAAUGGCAUUAUUCUCUCCAAAACGCAAGUAAUUUUUUCAAGUUUUAACUUGUUAAUUAUCAAUGCAAUCGCAUAGAAAAUCGAAUUCUCUUAUGUGUUAUUCAAGAAUAUUUAAGGAAAAACUUGCACCUACUUAUUCCCUCGCAGUAGCUAUUGGGUUUCGUAUGUCCAGAAUACUCGAACAAAGCCAUGUCAGACUUCGCAGUGGUAGAAUUCGUCCUAAGGUAGGAAACUCACGUCUUGGGCACCGACUGAUAAAUUGCUUUUUCCAAGAAAGAACCCUUGAGUCAGGUGUAUAGGACUGAAAACUUUGCUUUAAAAGGAGGGCGCCCCAGUAUUGGAGUCUGAUAAGGGAGAGGAUUGUUGAAUUUGGAAGGGUUGAAGUUGCGGAAUAAAUGAACUCUGUUGAUUAUGAGGUUGAACUGUGUUCAUCAUGCCAAAACUAAGAAAGGAAUGAUAUUCAUUAGGAUUAGCAAAAUUACGACUGUCGUUUGUUGGAGUUAGAGGAACAUUUACCAUCAUGCCUCCAGGUGGAGAUGUCGACGCCGCAGAAGAUGGAACAGUGACAGAGUUUGAAACUCCACUUUGUAAAAACGAAGGAUAUGUGGACGCAGGUUGACAGAAGUUGGUCUCAUUGAAGUGUAAAGGCCCAGGAAUUGUCCAUUGAUCAAACUGACUACCUGUUGAAAACAUUCCAGAACAAGCCGGCAUGGGAGGAGUUACACUUUCAUACCCACAGGAAGCUGUAACAGAAGAAACUACUGUAAAACUGGAUUUCUUUAAUUUACUUAAGUUGCAAU
rnacentral:lncRNA from 1 species